rnacentral:lncRNA from 1 species
UAUUUUAACAGUAAUGUUUUUUGAGCUGCUUCUAUUCUCACAAUUCUUAAUACUGUCCCAUGUGUGUUUCACAAUGUGGGUCCCAUAUAGGUUUGAACAUAUGGGGCCUUCAUGGGAUCUAUGUGGGCAUGGGCUGAAGAUGGGCAAUUUAUGUGGGUCCCAUGUGUGUUUCACAAUGUGGGUCCCAUAUAGGUUUGAACAUAUGGGGCCUUCAUGGGAUCUAUGUGGGCAUGGGCUGAAGAUGGGCAAUUUAUGUGGGUCCCAUGUGUGUUUCACAAUGUGGGUCCCAUAUAGGUUUGAACAUAUGGGGCCUUCAUGGGAUCUAUGUGGGCAUGGGCUGAAGAUGGGCAAUUUAUGUGGGUCCCAUGUGUGUUUCACAAUGUGGGUCCCAUAUAGGUUUGAACAUAUGGGGCCUUCAUGGGAUCUAUGUGGGCAUGGGCUGAAGAUGGGCAAUUUAUGUGGGUCCCAUGUGUGUUUCACAAUGUGGGUCCCAUAUAGGUUUGAACAUAUGGGGCCUUCAUGGGAUCUAUGUGGGCAUGGGCUGAAGAUGGGCAAUUUAUGUGGGUCCCAUGUGUGUUUCACAAUGUGGGUCCCAUAUAGGUUUGAACAUAUGGGGCCUUCAUGGGAUCUAUGUGGGCAUGGGCUGAAGAUGGGCAAUUUAUGUGGGUCCCAUGUGUGUUUCACAAUGUGGGUCCCAUAUAGGUUUGAACAUAUGGGGCCUUCAUGGGAUCUAUGUGGGCAUGGGCUGAAGAUGGGCAAUUUAUGUGGGUCCCAUGUGUGUUUCACAAUGUGGGUCCCAUAUAGGUUUGAACAUAUGGGGCCUUCAUGGGAUCUAUGUGGGCAUGGGCUGAAGAUGGGCAAUUUAUGUGGGUCCCAUGUGUGUUUCACAAUGUGGGUCCCAUAUAGGUUUGAACAUAUGGGGCCUUCAUGGGAUCUAUGUGGGCAUGGGCUGAAGAUGGGCAAUUUAUGUGGGUCCCAUGUGUGUUUCACAAUGUGGGUCCCAUAUAGGUUUGAACAUAUGGGGCCUUCAUGGGAUCUAUGUGGGCAUGGGCUGAAGAUGGGCAAUUUAUGUGGGUCCCAUGUGUGUUUCACAAUGUGGGUCCCAUAUAGGUUUGAACAUAUGGGGCCUUCAUGGGAUCUAUGUGGGCAUGGGCUGAAGAUGGGCAAUUUAUGUGGGUCCCAUGUGUGUUUCACAAUGUGGGUCCCAUAUAGGUUUGAACAUAUGGGGCCUUCAUGGGAUCUAUGUGGGCAUGGGCUGAAGAUGGGCAAUUUAUGUGGGUCCCAUGUGUGUUUCACAAUGUGGGUCCCAUAUAGGUUUGAACAUAUGGGGCCUUCAUGGGAUCUAUGUGGGCAUGGGCUGAAGAUGGGCAAUUUAUGUGGGUCCCAUGUGUGUUUCACAAUGUGGGUCCCAUAUAGGUUUGAACAUAUGGGGCCUUCAUGGGAUCUAUGUGGGCAUGGGCUGAAGAUGGGCAAUUUAUGUGGGUCCCAUGUGUGUUUCACAAUGUGGGUCCCAUAUAGGUUUGAACAUAUGGGGCCUUCAUGGGAUCUAUGUGGGCAUGGGCUGAAGAUGGGCAAUUUAUGUGGGUCCCAUGUGUGUUUCACAAUGUGGGUCCCAUAUAGGUUUGAACAUAUGGGGCCUUCAUGGGAUCUAUGUGGGCAUGGGCUGAAGAUGGGCAAUUUAUGUGGGUCCCAUGUGUGUUUCACAAUGUGGGUCCCAUAUAGGUUUGAACAUAUGGGGCCUUCAUGGGAUCUAUGUGGGCAUGGGCUGAAGAUGGGCAAUUUAUGUGGGUCCCAUGUGUGUUUCACAAUGUGGGUCCCAUAUAGGUUUGAACAUAUGGGGCCUUCAUGGGAUCUAUGUGGGCAUGGGCUGAAGAUGGGCAAUUUAUGUGGGUCCCAUGUGUGUUUCACAAUGUGGGUCCCAUAUAGGUUUGAACAUAUGGGGCCUUCAUGGGAUCUAUGUGGGCAUGGGCUGAAGAUGGGCAAUUUAUGUGGGUCCCAUGUGUGUUUCACAAUGUGGGUCCCAUAUAGGUUUGAACAUAUGGGGCCUUCAUGGGAUCUAUGUGGGCAUGGGCUGAAGAUGGGCAAUUUAUGUGGGUCCCAUGUGUGUUUCACAAUGUGGGUCCCAUAUAGGUUUGAACAUAUGGGGCCUUCAUGGGAUCUAUGUGGGCAUGGGCUGAAGAUGGGCAAUUUAUGUGGGUCCCAUGUGUGUUUCACAAUGUGGGUCCCAUAUAGGUUUGAACAUAUGGGGCCUUCAUGGGAUCUAUGUGGGCAUGGGCUGAAGAUGGGCAAUUUAUGUGGGUCCCAUGUGUGUUUCACAAUGUGGGUCCCAUAUAGGUUUGAACAUAUGGGGCCUUCAUGGGAUCUAUGUGGGCAUGGGCUGAAGAUGGGCAAUUUAUGUGGGUCCCAUGUGUGUUUCACAAUGUGGGUCCCAUAUAGGUUUGAACAUAUGGGGCCUUCAUGGGAUCUAUGUGGGCAUGGGCUGAAGAUGGGCAAUUUAUGUGGGUCCCAUGUGUGUUUCACAAUGUGGGUCCCAUAUAGGUUUGAACAUAUGGGGCCUUCAUGGGAUCUAUGUGGGCAUGGGCUGAAGAUGGGCAAUUUAUGUGGGUCCCAUGUGUGUUUCACAAUGUGGGUCCCAUAUAGGUUUGAACAUAUGGGGCCUUCAUGGGAUCUAUGUGGGCAUGGGCUGAAGAUGGGCAAUUUAUGUGGGUCCCAUGUGUGUUUCACAAUGUGGGUCCCAUAUAGGUUUGAACAUAUGGGGCCUUCAUGGGAUCUAUGUGGGCAUGGGCUGAAGAUGGGCAAUUUAUGUGGGUCCCAUGUGUGUUUCACAAUGUGGGUCCCAUAUAGGUUUGAACAUAUGGGGCCUUCAUGGGAUCUAUGUGGGCAUGGGCUGAAGAUGGGCAAUUUAUGUGGGUCCCAUGUGUGUUUCACAAUGUGGGUCCCAUAUAGGUUUGAACAUAUGGGGCCUUCAUGGGAUCUAUGUGGGCAUGGGCUGAAGAUGGGCAAUUUAUGUGGGUCCCAUGUGUGUUUCACAAUGUGGGUCCCAUAUAGGUUUGAACAUAUGGGGCCUUCAUGGGAUCUAUGUGGGCAUGGGCUGAAGAUGGGCAAUUUAUGUGGGUCCCAUGUGUGUUUCACAAUGUGGGUCCCAUAUAGGUUUGAACAUAUGGGGCCUUCAUGGGAUCUAUGUGGGCAUGGGCUGAAGAUGGGCAAUUUAUGUGGGUCCCAUGUGUGUUUCACAAUGUGGGUCCCAUAUAGGUUUGAACAUAUGGGGCCUUCAUGGGAUCUAUGUGGGCAUGGGCUGAAGAUGGGCAAUUUAUGUGGGUCCCAUGUGUGUUUCACAAUGUGGGUCCCAUAUAGGUUUGAACAUAUGGGGCCUUCAUGGGAUCUAUGUGGGCAUGGGCUGAAGAUGGGCAAUUUAUGUGGGUCCCAUGUGUGUUUCACAAUGUGGGUCCCAUAUAGGUUUGAACAUAUGGGGCCUUCAUGGGAUCUAUGUGGGCAUGGGCUGAAGAUGGGCAAUUUAUGUGGGUCCCAUGUGUGUUUCACAAUGUGGGUCCCAUAUAGGUUUGAACAUAUGGGGCCUUCAUGGGAUCUAUGUGGGCAUGGGCUGAAGAUGGGCAAUUUAUGUGGGUCCCAUGUGUGUUUCACAAUGUGGGUCCCAUAUAGGUUUGAACAUAUGGGGCCUUCAUGGGAUCUAUGUGGGCAUGGGCUGAAGAUGGGCAAUUUAUGUGGGUCCCAUGUGUGUUUCACAAUGUGGGUCCCAUAUAGGUUUGAACAUAUGGGGCCUUCAUGGGAUCUAUGUGGGCAUGGGCUGAAGAUGGGCAAUUUAUGUGGGUCCCAUGUGUGUUUCACAAUGUGGGUCCCAUAUAGGUUUGAACAUAUGGGGCCUUCAUGGGAUCUAUGUGGGCAUGGGCUGAAGAUGGGCAAUUUAUGUGGGUCCCAUGUGUGUUUCACAAUGUGGGUCCCAUAUAGGUUUGAACAUAUGGGGCCUUCAUGGGAUCUAUGUGGGCAUGGGCUGAAGAUGGGCAAUUUAUGUGGGUCCCAUGUGUGUUUCACAAUGUGGGUCCCAUAUAGGUUUGAACAUAUGGGGCCUUCAUGGGAUCUAUGUGGGCAUGGGCUGAAGAUGGGCAAUUUAUGUGGGUCCCAUGUGUGUUUCACAAUGUGGGUCCCAUAUAGGUUUGAACAUAUGGGGCCUUCAUGGGAUCUAUGUGGGCAUGGGCUGAAGAUGGGCAAUUUAUGUGGGUCCCAUGUGUGUUUCACAAUGUGGGUCCCAUAUAGGUUUGAACAUAUGGGGCCUUCAUGGGAUCUAUGUGGGCAUGGGCUGAAGAUGGGCAAUUUAUGUGGGUCCCAUGUGUGUUUCACAAUGUGGGUCCCAUAUAGGUUUGAACAUAUGGGGCCUUCAUGGGAUCUAUGUGGGCAUGGGCUGAAGAUGGGCAAUUUAUGUGGGUCCCAUGUGUGUUUCACAAUGUGGGUCCCAUAUAGGUUUGAACAUAUGGGGCCUUCAUGGGAUCUAUGUGGGCAUGGGCUGAAGAUGGGCAAUUUAUGUGGGUCCCAUGUGUGUUUCACAAUGUGGGUCCCAUAUAGGUUUGAACAUAUGGGGCCUUCAUGGGAUCUAUGUGGGCAUGGGCUGAAGAUGGGCAAUUUAUGUGGGUCCCAUGUGUGUUUCACAAUGUGGGUCCCAUAUAGGUUUGAACAUAUGGGGCCUUCAUGGGAUCUAUGUGGGCAUGGGCUGAAGAUGGGCAAUUUAUGUGGGUCCCAUGUGUGUUUCACAAUGUGGGUCCCAUAUAGGUUUGAACAUAUGGGGCCUUCAUGGGAUCUAUGUGGGCAUGGGCUGAAGAUGGGCAAUUUAUGUGGGUCCCAUGUGUGUUUCACAAUGUGGGUCCCAUAUAGGUUUGAACAUAUGGGGCCUUCAUGGGAUCUAUGUGGGCAUGGGCUGAAGAUGGGCAAUUUAUGUGGGUCCCAUGUGUGUUUCACAAUGUGGGUCCCAUAUAGGUUUGAACAUAUGGGGCCUUCAUGGGAUCUAUGUGGGCAUGGGCUGAAGAUGGGCAAUUUAUGUGGGUCCCAUGUGUGUUUCACAAUGUGGGUCCCAUAUAGGUUUGAACAUAUGGGGCCUUCAUGGGAUCUAUGUGGGCAUGGGCUGAAGAUGGGCAAUUUAUGUGGGUCCCAUGUGUGUUUCACAAUGUGGGUCCCAUAUAGGUUUGAACAUAUGGGGCCUUCAUGGGAUCUAUGUGGGCAUGGGCUGAAGAUGGGCAAUUUAUGUGGGUCCCAUGUGUGUUUCACAAUGUGGGUCCCAUAUAGGUUUGAACAUAUGGGGCCUUCAUGGGAUCUAUGUGGGCAUGGGCUGAAGAUGGGCAAUUUAUGUGGGUCCCAUGUGUGUUUCACAAUGUGGGUCCCAUAUAGGUUUGAACAUAUGGGGCCUUCAUGGGAUCUAUGUGGGCAUGGGCUGAAGAUGGGCAAUUUAUGUGGGUCCCAUGUGUGUUUCACAAUGUGGGUCCCAUAUAGGUUUGAACAUAUGGGGCCUUCAUGGGAUCUAUGUGGGCAUGGGCUGAAGAUGGGCAAUUUAUGUGGGUCCCAUGUGUGUUUCACAAUGUGGGUCCCAUAUAGGUUUGAACAUAUGGGGCCUUCAUGGGAUCUAUGUGGGCAUGGGCUGAAGAUGGGCAAUUUAUGUGGGUCCCAUGUGUGUUUCACAAUGUGGGUCCCAUAUAGGUUUGAACAUAUGGGGCCUUCAUGGGAUCUAUGUGGGCAUGGGCUGAAGAUGGGCAAUUUAUGUGGGUCCCAUGUGUGUUUCACAAUGUGGGUCCCAUAUAGGUUUGAACAUAUGGGGCCUUCAUGGGAUCUAUGUGGGCAUGGGCUGAAGAUGGGCAAUUUAUGUGGGUCCCAUGUGUGUUUCACAAUGUGGGUCCCAUAUAGGUUUGAACAUAUGGGGCCUUCAUGGGAUCUAUGUGGGCAUGGGCUGAAGAUGGGCAAUUUAUGUGGGUCCCAUGUGUGUUUCACAAUGUGGGUCCCAUAUAGGUUUGAACAUAUGGGGCCUUCAUGGGAUCUAUGUGGGCAUGGGCUGAAGAUGGGCAAUUUAUAUGGGUCCCAUGUGUUUUUCACAAUGUGGGUCCCAUAUAGGUUUGAACAUAUGGGACCUUCUUGGAUCUAUGUGGGCAAAAUGAUUUCAAACUUAAACAUCUUUACACCUUUAAACUUUAAACUUAGUCACUUUUUAAACAACAAAUAUAACAGUUUAAUAUUUUAUGGAUCUGAUCAAAAUAACUACUUUUUAAAUGAAAAUGUGUGAAUCAAUAUUUCACUGUUACCCUGCCUAUCCAUUUAUCAAAAUGCACUUUUCUUUUACUGCACACAUUUUAGCAGGGACAAUCACAAACUACUAAACUUUUUUUUUUUUUACAAACUCUAGACGGUCUCACAGUCGGGACCCUACCCUCUACAAAUGACUAACUAAAUAUAACAGUUUAAUAUUUUAUGGUAUCUGAUCAAAAUAACUUCUUUUUUAAAUUGAAAAUAGUGUGAAUCAAUAUUUUCAAUGUAACCCUGCCUAUCCAUUUAUCAAAAUGCACUUUUCUUUUACUGCACACAUUUUAGCAGGACAAUCACAAACUUCUAAACUUUUUUUUUUUUUUCUAAACUCUAGACGGUCUCACAUGGGACCUACCCUCUCAAAUGAUCUUCUGACAACACCUUCCGC